rnacentral:rRNA from 1 species
UACGUAGGUGGCAAGCGAUACUCGGAAUCACUAGGUGUAAAGCGCAGGUAGGAGGUUGGAUAAGUCCGUUGUGAAAGCUCCCGGCUUAACUGGGAGAGGUCAACGGAAACUAUUCGGCUGGAGUGCGGUAGAGGUAGCUGGAAUUCCCGGUGUAGCGGUGAAAUGCGUAGAUAUCGGGAGGAAUACCUAUGGCGAAAGCAGGCUACUGGACCGUCACUGACUCUGAUCUGCGAAAGCUAGGGGAGCAAACAGG